AUACACGUUGCCCUCCAGAGCCUUCCCCGUCUUUGUAGCCCUCCUUUGGAUGCUUUUUAAUAGUUUCAUGUCCUUAUAUUGUGGUGCCCUUGCCACAAGGAAGCAAACAAAUUACAAGCAACACAAGAAGACAUGACUGCACAUAAGAUGUGGAAGAGCAAAUCUACACACAAUGUACCUCAGAACUUCAGGAGAAGGGGAGGGAAAAUGCUCAGCAGCACACUCUGAUGGUCAUUUCCCUCAGAUUAUGUUUUGUUGCCUAGAAUAAUGUUUAAAACAUUACAUUAUUGGCUGAUGUUCCUCAGCCAAUCAGUUAACAUCUGUUUUUUUCAACUUCAUAUUUAUCCUCCCAGAGACCUCUAAGCGGAAGUAGAUGUUUUCAGAGAUGCAGAAGGAAUUCUGGAUUAGUUUGGGGUUUUGUGGAGAUGAAGAGGAAUUUGAGGGCAAGAGCAGUUUAUAUUUACUCACCAAGCCCUGUAUUUUGUAAUAUAGAUACCAGACAUGAGUAGAAGAAAGUGAUGGAGAUUUCAUGAACAGAAGGGUAGCCUCUAUCUGUAAAACAUGUAUCCAAAGAACUAUUUACAGUCCAAGUAAUGGAAAAACAUCCUUUACUGGGAGACAAUUGGUUUGUCACAAUUCAGACAAAUAUUUGUUAUGCAAAAACAAUUCUUAAUUUAAAAAGGCAGCACAGUACCUUUGGGACUGCUCCCACAAGCUGUAUUCCCAUCUCUUUGGAAAAACAAAAUGACCCAAAUCAACUGUUUGCAUUGCAGCCUCGGGUCAACUGCUCCAAAGGCAUCACUGGGCACAGGAGCUGCUUCUGCCAGAAAUUGUAGACGUUUUACGUCAUGCAAAUUCUGGUUCUUCGUUUCCCGUUACUGUUUUCUUUCAGUUUAGGGAUAAUCCAAGAUGUAUGUUUCUUGCCAUUUAAAACCAAGAGAAAAACCACAACAGUAUUUUCCACGUAAGCCAAAAUCUUUCACAUGUGCCAACUGUCAGAGCAGACAAAAGAGCUUUGAUCAUAGUCAGACACCAUAACUAGCUACUCGUUUUAAUUACAGAAAGUUUUAGCUAUUAUUACACGACAGGCUGCCACAUUCAGCACAUGACAUAGUUUCAUGAAAGCGUUUCAUUUCUCUCAGCACAGAUCCAGCCCUAGGCUAUUUCACUCACAGCAGAAGCAUAGGUUUGAAUGAACCCAAGGAGAUAACUGAGCCCGAGACCUACAACAACCCACAUGUGCACCAACCCAGCUCCCAGCCGGAUGGGAAACCAUCACCCUCAGGACCCCAGCUGGUGCAGAGCUGCGCACUGCCCGCAGGUCAUGUGUUUUCUUUUGUUCUUUAAAUUCUUCGGAACGAAACAAUUGUAAAUCCAUGGGUUUGGGGACAUAUUUCAGUUAUUUUAAAAUUCUUUUUCUUGAUGUUUUCCUUCUAUUUUUAGUAUGCUAGCUGUUUUGAGGGGCUGAUGAACUCAAUCCCAAACUAUUGUUUUUUUCCUGCCUGGAUUGCUGUCAGAGAAUCAGAAAGAAAUAGCUGUGGCACAGGUCAGCCCAAACAUUUUCACGAGGGCUGUUACACGUUUUCAUCUCUAUUAGCAGUACUUUCAUUUUGGCAAACCUUUCUGUGAGCAAACUCACAAAAGCACUGAUGAAGAGCAAAUCAAAGGGAAUAUGACAGUUGUCAAAAAGGCUCUGUGUUUUCUGUUUGAACAAAUGCUUAUGAGUACUCAUUUACUCAUAGCUGGGAGCUCUAAUCCUCAUCUAUUCAGCACAUUACAGAAAAAAUACUAAAUUACAUCCCCUAUCACUGCAUCUAAUUCCGAAUGAAGUCAAAUAAGUGUAGUAAAGAGAAUAAACAAAUAAUUAGUGACACUGAUAACGUAGGAAUUGGGCUGAAAGAAUGUCUUUCCCUUGGAAAACAGAGAAGCAGUGUCAGAGUUGUUGAUUAAUUUAACAGCCAUUAAAACAUCUUAUUAACUCAAGUGCUAAUUGAGUGCCUGGCAGGAAUAACAGGGCAGAGCCAACCAAAUGCAUACAUACAAAUUGCUAAAAUAUGAAGAAAUUCUCUGGCUUAAUAUUUCAUUACUUCUAUAACUUGUUUUUUUGUAGUGUGUUUGGCUGGCUUAUGUGACCUCACCUGCCUGCUUUGUGCUGGUUUUGAAGAUGCCAUGGCACACAGUCUCAGUCUCACACAGUCUCAUUUUCUUUAAAAUGUUUGCAAAACCAAGUCCCAUGGUGUCUGAUUUGUCACUUGAUGCUGGUUGGAGGACAGGUCCAGGGACUGCAGGAAAGGGGAGCACAGGAGAACCAGGAGCUCAGCAGCAGUACUGCUGCCAAGACCAAACUCACGAGAUUCAGUAACGUAAAAAUGCAUCAGCCUUGCCCAUCUCCUUUCCUUCAUCUUGCCAUUUGUUACCAAGCUAUCAGCCUUUCUGACUUGUUCUCCAGGAGCUCUGAUCCUCUGGUGCUGCUGGCACGAGCAGCCUCCUUUGCAAAGAUCUUCACUCUGGGAGAAAAACAAGAAGCUCACCUGCGAGUACUCUUUCUCUGCAAGUGCAACAUCUGGUGUUUUCCCAUCUGAAGGAUGCCACACAUAAAUGGACCUGAAUCCAGCACUGCUGAUAAACUGACACUUCACCAUCUCAGAAGGACAGAGACAGCUUGGCCCUGCUGGGCUCUGUGCUGCCCCAUGCAUCAAAGACCAAGUUACAAAGGGUGGAAGCAAGGAGGAGAGUGAGGGGACCCUUCACUGCCUGCAAAGGAGCUCCUGGCUCUGGUGCAGCCACAUCUCUGAGCCUGGAGAAAGUGGGUGAAGAGCUAGAGGGCACACUUCUGCCCACGAGUCGCUGAGAUGGCCCAUUGUGCAGGACGGACAGCUUGCACCCAGACGGGCCCUGUAGAAACCACUGCGUGUGAGGAGUGGCUGGAGGACACAGCAGGAGAUUUCAUGCUCUCGCCCUGUGCUUUGAUGCACUUGGCUAACAAGUUAAUCAGCUGUUUGUUGUCAGGUCUGAUGGGAAAAUAUCAACAAACACAACUAGAGGAUGGAGAGAGCAAAACCUUUUCUGGGCUGUAGUUUCAGUUCCCCAAUGGCAUACAGACCAGGCACCUUCCAGCUCUCUCACAGGGACUGGGAGCGCUCCUCCAGCCUCAGCCACUUUGUCUUGCUCUUGGAAAAGGGACAAGCAGAGUCCUUCAGAAAAAGCCAGAUGAUACAAAUCCAAAGACAUACUUCCAUUUCCAAAAAGACAUUUUUUAAAUGGAGAAAUAAAACUGCCUUGGUCGCUCAGAAGAGACGGUGAGACAUGCAUUUCUGAAGAACAGGGCUGAAAAAGCAAGUUUCUCCAUAGAAAUGAUAUUUUCUCCAAGAGGAUUAAUUUCUCAGCAUGUUGGCCUUUCCAUAGAGGGCACUGGUCGUGAGGUGACCCAUCCCACACUGCUAAUAGAAGCUUGUCCCAGCAGGGUCAGCGUUUGCACUGGGAGACAGUGGCAAAAGCCCAGCCUACAGCUGCAGCUGCCAAAGAGCUGCUAAAAGGCAGCCUAAAAACUAACCACUGAUCGGGGCGAGGAGGACCAGCUGCUGUAUCGCUGCCUCAAUCAAUGAUGAGCAUGACACUAGCUGGGAAGACUUCUUCAUUAGGAGCCAUGCUCUGACUCACGGGUUGUUGCGUCUGAGCAAACACAGUCUGUUGACUUAAUGCUGGUGCAGGUGCUGGGCUGCACCUUGCCCCACUUGCUAUCAGGCAGAGCAGCAGGACGCCCCAUAAAAGUACAUAAAAAUCCAACAGCUGUUAGAAGCUGGUGGGUUUCCUUGUGGGUAUGGGUGCUCAGCUCUCCCUCACUUCCCCACUGCUGCGGGAUCAGGCUGUGGGCAGGCAGAGGGAAACGCGAGCAACACUUCUCCUGCAAGGAAAAAUACAGCUUCACAUCAUCUGCGCAGCAUGACUGGAUGUCCCGAGCAGAUGUGUUAUUUAAGGAGCAUUUCAGCGAGCACAGGGUGGCUUUCCUAGGGCCUUGCAUCCCCGGCUUUGCAGCCACCUAACCACACCUCCGGCUGCCCCGUGGUGCUCAGCAAAAGCAACUGGCCUGACUGGGCUCCUGUGGCUGUUUCUACUGGAAUUAAACCAAAUCAGGGAUCUCCGGCCGUGCAGCACCCAGGGGAUGGCGUCAGCGUGGUGGCUGUGGCGGGGAUGCGGCCAUACCAGGCACCAUCCCCACCGCGCCGGCAGCCCUCGCCGUGGGAAAGUCUUUGAUGUAACCAAAGCUCCGGGGCCGCGUUUCCACCCCGGUACCUGAUCUCGUAAACAUCAGCGAUGGCGCGGCCGCUGCGCACGCAGAAACCACAUCCUGUCACCCGCUCGGCAAUCGGCGGGGCCAUCUCGGUGGCCAGGACGUGGAGGAGUUGCGACACUCGUCUGCAUGCUGCAAGCAGGAGCGCUUCCCGUCAGGGCGAGGGGUCAGCGUUUUGCACCCUGUGACCCCACGGGCUGGUGACAGCCCGUCCGUAUGCAGCCGGGGUUUCAGAGAGGCUAUGUGCAUCAGUUCAUUUUUGCCAGCAGUUCUCCUUCCACAGGAACAUGGAUCUGACUUUAUAAUUCAUGCAUGCCUGGGAAGUUCAAUCCAGUCCCGCUGGAGUAGCAAGCUCAGUGGGAGUUUAUUUAUUUAAAGCAGUGGAUGCAGUAGCAUGGAAAAAAAAGCAAAUCUAUCAGAAACCAUAAGUCUUAAUCCUGAAACAGCUUUGCUUUUUGUAAAAUAUGGUCUAGAGAAACUGCUUUUACGAUGUGGCUUCCACAGAGCCUUGGCUUAACAUUUCAAUCCCCACAGAACUAUAUUAUAGCAUAAUAAUUAAAACAUUUACAAAAUGAAGAUAAUCUAUGGCUCAUCCAAGUUUCUAUGGAAAUUUGGAGGCUAUGGUGUAUGCAGCUGUUCUCAUCUAAUGCAAAGGUUGGCUGUAGCUCUGCUUCUGAGCACAUUCGUAACUUAGGGGAUAAUUUAUCCACUCUGUUUACACAGUUCUCGGCUUGCACAGCCCUCGGACCUUUUCUACGGUUCCCAAGCAAAGGGCUGCCUUACCCUCCCCUCUCAACUUGAGCAACGCUAACAAAACUCCUCUACUGAGAGACAUGGGUGCUCGCAUGUGUUCCAGAGGCUCUGUUGGAGAUACGUCAGAGCAUCUCAGAAGAGACACGGAGAUGCAUGCGCCCUGCCCUGCAGUGUCCCAUAAAAUGCAGUACCACAAAAACUUGUUACCUUUCCCCUUCGGGAGGAGUUGAUCUCCCAUUUGCUCCCCUCCCAAGCAGCACCCCAGUGCUCAGGGCAGCAGGGGAGGGGGCACAGCUGGAUGGCACUGCCAGAUGUGCUGCCCCAAGUUCAGCUGUGGGUAUGGGAUGUUCUGCUCCUGGGGGGAUGUUUCCUCCUGCUCACAUUCGUGGUGGGACAGGGUCUCACAUUCACGAGCUUAUCAGCUCCAGUGAGCCUGUGGAUGAUGCAAGCCGUUUUCAUUUUGCAAUGUGAAAUUGCUAAUGAAGAAGGAGUUAAUGACCGCCAAGCAAAGGAAAUUAGCCAGCAGCACGCAGCUCCAGCCGUCACGCAGUGGCCCAAUGGGUGCAAAUCUUCAAGUCUCAUCUAAGUCAUGUCACGGAAGCCUGCGCUUUGCAAACAGGACAGUGCAGCUACAUUAUUCAGGGGUUCACAGAAGAAAAUAUUUCAGCUGAAACAGUGCUAGAGCAUGCCAUCCUGAACAAAUACUUAGUAAUGUUCAACAAAUAAUGUGCCUGGUAGCAAAAAUUUUUUUGAGUAUGAACUUAGAAAGUCUUGGAGUGUCAGUACUGUGCAGUCUGAGGGAAAAAAAGAAACAGGAAACCAACAAAAAAUCAAUUGAUCGAUCGAUCUAAUGAACAAACAAGAAACACUGUAAAACCCAUUAUUUUAGUUCCUGGUCAUGUGUAACCCCUGCAGCCCAGCUGAGCUGCUGUUGGGAUGGAGGUGGUGGUGGCUGAGAAGUCCCAUGGAUUUUGGAGAGCAGCUGUAUCCAUAGGCUCUCAGUCACUUCUCAGUGCAAAUAGCCUGCAAAUAAAGAUACACAUCUAAAGACA